AAGUCGUACGCACUGGCCCAACUGAUUGAUGGUGCUUGCACCUGAUUGACGAUGGAUCACCAGUGAGUGGCGGACGGGUGAGUAACACGUAGGUAACCUGCCCCGGAGCGGGGGAUAACAUUUGGAAACAGAUGCUAAUACCGCAUAACAACAAAAGCCACAUGGCUUUUGUUUGAAAGAUGGCUUUGGCUAUCACUCUGGGAUGGACCUGCGGUGCAUUAGCUAGUUGGUAAGGUAACGGCUUACCAAGGCGAUGAUGCAUAGCCGAGUUGAGAGACUGAUCGGCCACAAUGGAACUGAGACACGGUCCAUACUCCUACGGGAGGCAGCAGUAGGGAAUCUUCCACAAUGGGCGCAAGCCUGAUGGAGCAACACCGCGUGAGUGAAGAAGGGUUUCGGCUCGUAAAGCUCUGUUGUUGGAGAAGAACGUGCGUGAGAGUAACUGUUCACGCAGUGACGGUAUCCAACCAGAAAGUCACGGCUAACUACGUGCCAGCAGCCGCGGUAAUACGUAGGUGGCAAGCGUUAUCCGGAUUUAUUGGGCGUAAAGCGAGCGCAGGCGGUUGCUUAGGUCUGAUGUGAAAGCCUUCGGCUUAACCGAAGAAGUGCAUCGGAAACCGGGCGACUUGAGUGCAGAAGAGGACAGUGGAACUCCAUGUGUAGCGGUGGAAUGCGUAGAUAUAUGGAAGAACACCAGUGGCGAAGGCGGCUGUCUGGUCUGCAACUGACGCUGAGGCUCGAAAGCAUGGGUAGCGAACAGGAUUAGAUACCCUGGUAGUCCAUGCCGUAAACGAUGAGUGCUAGGUGUUGGAGGGUUUCCGCCCUUCAGUGCCGGAGCUAACGCAUUAAGCACUCCGCCUGGGGAGUACGACCGCAAGGUUGAAACUCAAAGGAAUUGACGGGGGCCCGCACAAGCGGUGGAGCAUGUGGUUUAAUUCGAAGCUACGCGAAGAACCUUACCAGGUCUUGACAUCUUGCGCUAACCUUAGAGAUAAGGCGUUCCCUUCGGGGACGCAAUGACAGGUGGUGCAUGGUCGUCGUCAGCUCGUGUCGUGAGAUGUUGGGUUAAGUCCCGCAACGAGCGCAACCCUUGUUACUAGUUGCCAGCAUUAAGUUGGGCACUCUAGUGAGACUGCCGGUGACAAACCGGAGGAAGGUGGGGACGACGUCAGAUCAUCAUGCCCCUUAUGACCUGGGCUACACACGUGCUACAAUGGACGGUACAACGAGUCGCAAGCUCGCGAGAGUAAGCUAAUCUCUUAAAGCCGUUCUCAGUUCGGACUGUAGGCUGCAACUCGCCUACACGAAGUCGGAAUCGCUAGUAAUCGCGGAUCAGCAUGCCGCGGUGAAUACGUUCCCGGGCCUUGUACACACCGCCCGUCACACCAUGGGAGUUUGUAACGCCCAAAGUCGGUGGCCU
rnacentral:rRNA from 1 species